rnacentral:misc_RNA from 1 species
CUCUUCUGUCUUCUCCUGGCUCAUCUCGCGCGCCAGAAAACACACCAGUCGGUGGGAGUCGGCCCGGUGGUUGAUGUUACGGAGUUCGCGGAAACGCGAGGGUAUUCAACGAAAAAUCGGUGCCGCGCGGCGGCUAGCUAGCGCACGGAAAGGUGAAAACGUCGUACGUGCGAAUUAUCCGUUGGCACGAGAGCAGAGGAGAGCAAACGAAGGAUAGAGAAAGAAGGUACACGUAGAAAGUUUGGAGUCCUGACGUGCCAACCAGGCGUUGCAUGUUUCGCUGACGGUUUCGCAGACCGAUGACAUGGCUCGGCUGUGAUAGCGUUGGAUCGCUUGCCAAAGAUGCUUCCGUUGAAGGGAGGCUUCCUGUAGGCGGCAUCCACGGCGAUGGCGAGGAUGAAGAGGGCAACGACGAUGGCAAUAACGAAGCGGGAGGACAUCAUUCUGAUGGUUUUGAUUUGUAAACUGCUUGAAAUUAAAGGAACAAUUAUUUGAUAAACUAAGAAUAUCGUAUAGGAAGAAGAAACUAAAAGUAACAUGGAACAGGGAGUAAAAUUUUCCAAAUAGAAUUAUUUAAUAUAUAAGGGAAAAAUUCUUAUAUAGAAAUGGUCAGUUUACUUACAAAUGUGGAAACGAUAGAAGUUGUACGGUAGCUGGUCAGCGAAUGUUGCAAAUAAGGCGAAAGCUCGGAGCUUUUAUAGUAGAGAAAUGAACCGAAGACAAAUGUGCCUAUCAAGUACAGAUGGCCUACAUUAUUUGUAAGUGAACUCACCAAGAAGUUUGUCUAAGGAUGUAUCGAUUCAACGUAAUGUUAAAAUUCCUCGUACAACGACGGCAAUCAGUGGAAAUAAUAGGAAGAUAUGCAAACAUUUAUGUGAAACUUAAAACGUAGAAUUUAAA